UUUAUGGAGAGUUUGAUCCUGGCUCAGGACGAACGCUGGCGGCGUGCUUAACACAUGCAAGUCGAACGAGCAGAUUUUCAGCACUGAAUGCUUGAGGCAUUAACUUCGAGCGUCGUGACGACGAAGUCGUCACCACACCUUUUAUUAGUGCUUAACUUAACUGGACGGUUGAGUCGGAAUCGAGCAUUGAGUGCUGGAAAGAUGCGAGUGGCAAACGGGUGAGUAACGCGUAGACAACCUGCCGCAAAGAUGGGGACAACAGUCCGAAAGGACUGCUAAUACCGAAUGUUGUCAGUUUCUCGCAUGAGAGACUGAUUAAAGAUGGCCUCUACUUGUAAGCUAUCGCUUUGCGAUGGGUCUGCGUCUGAUUAGCUAGUUGGUGGGGUAACGGCCUACCAAGGCGACGAUCAGUAGCCGGUCUGAGAGGAUGAACGGCCACAUUGGAACUGAGACACGGUCCAGACUCCUACGGGAGGCAGCAGUGGGGAAUCUUCCGCAAUGGGCGAAAGCCUGACGGAGCAACGCCGCGUGAGU
rnacentral:ncRNA from 1 species